AUUGAACGCUGGCGGCAGGCCUAACACAUGCAAGUCGAACGGGGGGCGGCCGGGGGGGUAAGGUCGGGGAAACUGCCCGAUGGAGGGGGAUAACUACUGGAAAGGUUAGCUAAUACCGCAUACCAUCGGAUGUGCCCAGAUGGGAUUAGCUAGUAGGGGGGGUAAUGGCUCACCUAGGCGACGAUCCCUAGCUGGUCUGAGAGGAUGACCAGCCACACUGGAACUGAGACACGGUCCAGACUCCUACGGGAGGCAGCAGUGGGGAAUAUUGCACAAUGGGCGCAAGCCUGAUGCAGCCAUGCCGCGUGUAUGAAGAAGGCCUUCGGGUUGUAAAGUACUUUCAGCGAGGAGGCGUUACUCGCAGAAGAAGCACCGGCUAACUCCGUGCCAGCAGCCGCGGUAAUAC
rnacentral:rRNA from 1 species